UGCCUUGCCCCAAAUUAAAUUAAACCCUAAACUCCUUUGCCUCAGCUGCACCGCCACCCCUCUUUCAUCCCUUUCAGUAUAACACUACUCACCCACAAUCCCUAAUUCAGUGCUGCUACCCCCUCACACACCUUCACCUCAGCUCCACACAUACUCAGCCUCACUACCCUCUCAUUAAUACAACACACACGCACAGCUCCGCACUCACCGACGGAAGAGAAGGAAGGGAGCGCAGCGCCAGGGGCGGAGAAGCUCGCUGCCGUCAACCCUGCCGUCGCCGUCCGUGAAGUCCGCGCUAGUGCCGUCGCGGAGGAACGUCCCUGUUGUUGCAAACUAUUGCCAUCGCCGAUGAGGAUCCAUAGCUGGGAAGCAUGUCGCCGUUGCUGCUGUCCGUCCAGCCGAGCUGUCGCCGUCGCUGCCGGUCCACCUUGGAGCCCUGGCCGUCGUCGAUGGGGUUGAAUCCGCCGCCGGCUUGAGCUAAGGGAAAGGAAACCCGUAUAGGGGAGAGAGCGGGGGGCUUCGUGGCAGCUCCAUCGCACCGCUCCUGCCAAGCCACCGCCAAGUCCUGCCGCCGAUCGGAACCCUAGCCACCGCCGUUGAAGAUGCCACCACCGCCACUGCUGUCAAUUGGGAUCAAAAUUGUUGCUGUGUUCCCAGAGCUGUCAUGGAAGUGGUUGAUUCGGUCCCAAUUCCUCCAUUGUAGAGACUAACCAUUAUGGUGGUGUUGAGGCCAUCAGGAAACUGUUAGAGCUGCUGUUGACAAGUUUGAUAUUGCUACCUCAAUUCUGGGUUGUGUUCACUUUUGAUACCCAUUCAAUUUGGAUUUUCUAUUCUGCUGUAAUUACCAUUACCGUCGUGGAUUUAUUGCCACUGCUGCCAUGAAACGAAAAGGGAAGGGGAUCGUCGCGUUUGAUUUCCUUGGAUUUCGACACUUUGAGGUAGGGGUUUGUUUCAAAGUUAACAUAUUUUGGGGUUGAAUACCUGAUGAGUUUAGUGGAUUAAUGCAAGUGAAUUAAUUUCUGUGCUGAAAAUGACUUUCUGCUGUGAUUGAAAUUGUGGCUGAAUUGAUUAUUGAUUUAUCAUUUUUUUUAGUUUCUGGCAAAAAUAAAAUGAUUGAACAGGUUGAUUUUGAACCUUGGUUUGAAAAUGAUUUUUAUUGAUUAUGCAAAAAAUGGUUUUGGAAAUGUUAAUUUGAAAUGUUGGUUUUGAUUGAGCCGAAGUUGAAAUGAGGGGACCCGUAAUGGGUGGCCAACUCCAA